rnacentral:rRNA from 1 species
AACGCGAAGAACCUUACCAGGUCUUGACAUCCCUCUGUAAGCUCUAGAGAUAGAGCCCUCCUUCGGGACAGAGGAGACAGGUGGUGCAUGGUUGUCGUCAGCUCGUGUCGUGAGAUGUUGGGUUAAGUCCCGCAACGAGCGCAACCCUUGAUCUUAGUUGCCAGCACGUAAUGGUGGGCACUCUAGGAUGACUGCCGGUGACAAACCGGAGGAAGGUGGGGAUGACGUCAAAUCAUCAUGCCCCUUAUGACCUGGGCUACACACGUACUACAAUGGCCGGUACAACGGGAAGCGAAGCCGCGAGGUGGAGCCAAUCUUUAUAAGCCGGUCUCAGUUCGGAUUGCAGGCUGCAACUCGCCUGCAUGAAGUCGGAAUUGCUAGUAAUCGCGGAUCAGCAUGCCGCGGUGAAUACGUUCCCGGGUCUUGUACACACGC